UUCAUUUGCAGCAGAGUGAAGAAAAAAAAGAGAGGGGAGGGGGAGAGGUGUGAUUUUUGGCCGUAUGGUCGGUCACCGUCCGGUCGUCGGACCGUCGCCGGCCGCCGCAGUCGGCCACCGUGCAUAGUGACCGGAAAAGGUACAACUUGCUAAUGAGACAAAGGCGGUGCUGCAGAGCUGGUAGAGGCAAGUGGGGAGGUUGAUUCAGCUAGGUGGUUAGGGUUAGGGUUUCGGGAUUAGUUGGGUUUUGAUGUAAAUUGGGCUUAGGGUAUUAAUGGGAUUUUGAUGUAAACGUGCCAAAAUUGUCCAACAACAUUCAUUAUCCAACUUUCUUGAGUUUUUGAGAGUGGAAUAUAGAUAUUGAACAGAUUUUACUAGAAGCGCAGCAUAGAUGGUUAAGACCUGCUUAAAUUUGUGAAAUUCUUUGUAAUUAUCAGAAGUUCCAUAUUACGUCAGAGCCUCCUACCAGACCUCCAAGUAUGAACAUUAAUGUUUAUUGUGGAUAUUCUUAACUAUAUUAUGAUUACUAAGUGCUUGGUAAAAGCAUACAGGAAUAAUAAUUUCAGAAGUAUAUUAAUGUUGUUCUGUUGUCA